rnacentral:rRNA from 1 species
GGAUUUAUAGCUCUUUCUUAAUUUUGUGGGUUGUGGUGCAUGGCCGUUCCUAGUUGGUGGAGUGAUUUGUCUGGUUAAUUCCGUUAACGAAUGAGGCUAUUAUCUGUUAAUUCGCGUAAUAAUUAAAUUAGUGUUUUUGCUUCUUUAAGAAACUAGUUUUGCCUAAAAAGCUGGAAGUUGGUAGCAAUAACAGGUCUGUGAUGCCCAUCGACGUUUUGGGCAGCGCACGGGCUACAAUAGGAGAAUUACUAUGUUUACUAUCUUAAUUCGAAAAGAGUUGAGUAAUCAUGAAGGUGACUUAUAAUUGGGCUUACACAUUGAAAUUUUUUUGUAUAAACCAGGAAUAUCUAGUAAGUCAAGGUCAAUAACAUUGUUUGAAUGCGUCCCUGCCCCUUUGUAA